ACAUUCAUCAAAAGCUUUCUCAACCUCUCAAAACAAUAAAAAAAAAAAAAACCAAACUUUAGCUUUUUAAUUCCCGUCCGACAAGAAUGGCGACCGCGACUUUAGUUCCGACAUCUAAAAUCUUCUCUUCCUCUACCAAAUGUCCAGCUUUGAAUAAAGCAAGGACCUGCGUAAGCGUUGCAUCGUCGCAACAACAACAACUACCAAGAAGGAGAGAGCUGCUGCUGAAAUCGGCUGUGGCUAUUCCUGCGAUUCUGCAGUUGAAGGAAGCUCCAAUAUCGGAGGCGCGUGAGGUGGAUGUCGGAUCGUUCUUACCUCCGUCUCCGUCUGAUCCUAACUUCGUCCUCUUCAAAGCCAAACCUUCUGAUACUCCUGCUCUCCGCGCAGGAAACGUUCAGCCCUAUCAAUUUGUUCUACCGCCGAAUUGGAAACAAUUGCGUAUAGCCAACAUUUUGUCAGGUAAUUACUGCCAACCGAAAUGCGCAGAGCCAUGGAUCGAAGUGAAGUUUGAGAACGAGAAGCAAGGCAAAGUUCAAGUUGUGGCAUCUCCUUUGAUCCGUUUAACCAACAAACCAAAUGCAACCAUUGAAGAUCUCGGUGAGCCAGAGAAAGUGAUUGCUUCUCUUGGUCCUUUUGUCACCGGAAACUCUUAUGACUCUGAUGAACUUUUGAACACUUCAAUCGAAAAGAUUGGAGAUCAAACGUACUAUAAGUACGUUUUGGAGACGCCAUUUGCGCUCACGGGAAGUCACAAUCUUGCAAAAGCGACAGCAAAGGGAAACACGGUGGUUUUGUUUGUUGUGAGUGCUACUGAAAAGCAAUGGCAGAGCUCACAGAAGACUCUUCAAGCCAUUCUUGAUUCUUUUCAACUGUAAAUCCUGAGUUAUUGUUGAGACUCUGGACUCAAUAAACCAAAGAGCAAACGAUGAAGUCAAGUGGUCACGAGAUGAGGGACUUGAGGUUGUGAAAGGUCGCAUGAGUAUGUUACAUACUUCACACCAUCCACAAGCAAGACUAUAAAAACUUGGAACAGUGGAUUUGUUCCUCCCAUCAUCCCAUCACCGCCUUCUCUGGGAUCAACAAGCACAGAUACAACCAUUGAUGGGGAAGGCUGGGUGUCCCGGAAGUUCUCGUUGCUUGAGCUGUUAUGAUCUUUGGUUAGAUCAAAAUCAGACACCGGAAGACCACCACGGAGGAUUCUUCUGUUCUUUUUCCCCUUGCGUGUAUCAGUGGUGUUCUCAGACUGUUGAAUAGGUGGAGAAGCAGGAAUGAUG